rnacentral:rRNA from 1 species
GGACGAACGCUGGCGGCGUGCUUAACACAUGCAAGUCGAACGGAAAGGCCCUGCUUUUGCGGGGUGCUCGAGUGGCGAACGGGUGAGUAACACGUGAGUAACCUGCCCUUGACUUUGGGAUAACUUCAGGAAACUGGGGCUAAUACCGGAUAGGAGCUCCUGCUGCAUGGUGGGGGUUGGAAAGUUUCGGCGGUUGGGGAUGGACUCGCGGCUUAUCAGCUUGUUGGUGGGGUAGUGGCUUACCAAGGCUUUGACGGGUAGCCGGCCUGAGAGGGUGACCGGCCACAUUGGGACUGAGAUACGGCCCAGACUCCUACGGGAGGCAGCAGUGGGGAAUAUUGCACAAUGGGCGGAAGCCUGAUGCAGCAACGCCGCGUGCGGGAUGACGGCCUUCGGGUUGUAAACCGCUUUCGCCUGUGACGAAGCGUGAGUGACGGUAAUGGGUAAAGAAGCACCGGCUAACUACGUG